rnacentral:rRNA from 1 species
GGGAUGAACGCUGGCGGUAUGCGUAACACAUGCAAGUCGAACGAAGUUUUUCGGAACUUAGUGGCGGACGGGUGAGUAACGCGUGAGAAUCUGCCUUAAGGAUUGGGACAACAGUGGGAAACCGCUGCUAAUACCAAAUAUGCCUUUUAGUGAAACGGGUAAAACCGCCUUAAGAUGAGCUCGCGUCUGAUUAGCUAGUAGGUGUGGUAAGAGCGCACCUAGGCGACGAUCAGUAGCUGGUCUGAGAGGACGACCAGCCACACUGGGACUGAGACACGGCCCAGACUCCUACGGGAGGCAGCAGUGAGGAAUUUUCCGCAAUGGGCGAAAGCCUGACGGAGCAAUACCGCGUGAGGGAGGAAGGUUCUUGGAUUGUAAACCUCUUUUCUCAGAGAAGAAUAAUGACGGUAUCUGAGGAAUAAGCAUCGGCUAACUCCGUGCCAGCAGCCGCGGUAAUACGGAGGAUGCAAGCGUUAUCCGGAAUGAUUGGGCGCAAAGGGUCUGUAGGUGGUUGUUCAAGUCUGCUGUUAAAGCGUCUGGCUUAACCAGAUAAAGGCGGUGGAAACUGAACGACUAGAGUGCGGUAGGGGUAGAGGGAAUUCC